rnacentral:rRNA from 1 species
CCUACGGGUGGCAGCAGUGAGGAAUAUUGGUCAAUGGGCUUACGCCUGAACCAGCCAAGUCGCGUGAGGGAAGACUGCCCUAUGGGUUGUAAACCUCUUUUGUCAGGGAGCAAAGCCGGCUACGUGUAGCCGGACGGAGAGUACCUGAAGAAAAAGCAUGGGCUAACUCAGUGCCAGCAGCCGAGGUACGACGUAGGAUGCGAGCGUUAUCCGGAUUUAUUGGGUUUAAUGGGUGCGUAGGCGGUCGGAUAAGUUAGAGGUGAAAUCCCGAGGCUCAACUUCGGAAUUGCCUCUGAUACUGUUCGGCUAGAGAGUAGUUGCGGUAGGCGGAAUGUAUGGUGUAGCGGUGAAAUGCUUAGAGUUCAUACAGAACACCGAUUGCGAAGGCAGCUUACCAAGCUACUUCUGACGUUGAGGCACGAAAGCGUGGGGAGCAAACAGGAUUAGAUACCCCAGUAGUC